rnacentral:rRNA from 1 species
AGCGAACGUUUGCGGCGGGCCUAACACAUGCAAGUCGAACGCACUAGCAAUAGUGAGUGGCGCACGGGUGCGUAACACGUGGGUAAUCAACCCUUCAGCUUGGGAUAACGACUUGAAAGGGUCGCUAAUACCGGAUACGGCGCGGGAGGCUUCGGCUUCUCACGAGAAAGCCUCGCAAGGGGCACUGAAGGACGAGCCUGCGGCCCAUCAGCUAGUUGGUGAGGUAAGAGCUCACCAAGGCGAAGACGGGUAGCUGGUCUGAGAGGAUGAUCAGCCACACUGGAACUGAGACACGGUCCAGACUCCUACGGGAGGCAGCAGUGGGGAAUAUUGCGCAAUGGGCGAAAGCCUGACGCAGCCACGCCGCGUGAGCGACGAAGGCCUUCGGGUCGUAAAGCUCUGUGGGGAGAGACGAAGAAAGCCCGUGAAGAGACGGGCCUUGACGGUAUCUCCUUAGCAAGCACCGGCUAACUCCGUGCCAGCAGCCGCGGUAAU